rnacentral:rRNA from 1 species
GAUCCUGGCUCAGGAUGAACGCUAGCGGCAGGCUUAACACAUGCAAGUCGAGGGGCAGCGGAUGUAGCAAUACAUUGCCGGCGACCGGCGGAUGGGUGCGUAACGCGUAUGCAACCUACCUUAUACAGGGGAAUAACCUUUCGAAAGGGAGACUAACACCCCAUAGUAUUGAUUUAAGGCAUCUUAGAUUAAUUAAAUAUUUAUAGGUAUAAGAUGGGCAUGCGUAUGAUUAGCUAGUUGGUAAGGUAACGGCUUACCAAGGCGACGAUCAUUAGGGGUUCUGAGAGGAAGGUCCCCCACACUGGUACUGAGACACGGACCAGACUCCUACGGGAGGCAGCAGUGAGGAAUAUUGGUCAAUGGGCGCAAGCCUGAACCAGCCAUGCCGCGUGCAGGAAGACGGCCUUAUGGGUUGUAAACUGCUUUUACAUAAGACUAACCGUAUAUUUGCGAAUAUACCUGAAUGUAUUAUGAGAAUAAGGAUCGGCUAACUCCGUGCCAGCCGCUGC